UGAACGCUGGCGGCGUGCCUAAUACAUGCAAGUCGCGCGAACAGACGAGGAGCUUGCUCCUCUGACGUUAGCGGCGGACGGGUGAGUAACACGUGGAUAACCUACCUCUAAGACUGGGAUAACUUCGGGAAACCGGAGCUAAUACCGGAUAAUAUAUUGAACCGCAUGGUUCAAUAGUGAAAGACGGUUUUGCUGUCACUUAUAGAUGGAUCCGCGCCGCAUUAGCUAGUUGGUAAGGUAACGGCUUACCAAGGCAACGAUGCGUAGCCGACCUGAGAGGGUGAUCGGCCACACUGGAACUGAGACACGGUCCAGACUCCUACGGGAGGCAGCAGUAGGGAAUCUUCCGCAAUGGGCGAAAGCCUGACGGAGCAACGCCGCGUGAGUGAUGAAGGUCUUCGGAUCGUAAAACUCUGUUAUUAGGGAAGAACAAAUGUGUAAGUAACUAUGCACGUCUUGACGGUACCUAAUCAGAAAGCCACGGCUAACUACGUG
rnacentral:rRNA from 1 species